AUUGAACGCUGGCGGCAUGCCUUACACAUGCAAGUCGAACGGCAGCACGGGUGCUUGCACCUGGUGGCGAGUGGCGAACGGGUGAGUAAUACAUCGGAACAUGUCCUGUAGUGGGGGAUAGCCCGGCGAAAGCCGGAUUAAUACCGCAUACGAUCUACGGAUGAAAGCGGGGGACCUUCGGGCCUCGCGCUAUAGGGUUGGCCGAUGGCUGAUUAGCUUGUUGGUGGGGUAAAGGCCUACCAAGGCGACGAUCAGUAGCUGGUCUGAGAGGACGACCAGCCACACUGGGAGUGAGACACGGCCCAGACUCCUACGGGAGGCAGCAGUGGGGAAUUUUGGACAAUGGGCGAAAGCCUGAUCCAGCAAUGCCGCGUGUGUGAAGAAGGCCUUCGGGUUGUAAAGCACUUUUGUCCGGAAAGAAAUCCUUGGCCCUAAUACGGUCGGGGGAUGACGGUACCGGAAGAAUAAGCACCGGCUAACUACGUG
rnacentral:rRNA from 1 species